rnacentral:lncRNA from 1 species
GAGGGUGCCUGAGGGGGAUGUGCUAAAGCCAAAGCACAUUUGCCCCCUCCCAGCGGGUAGGGGAGUGGUGGAGGCGGAGCACAGAGGUGUGGCCUGUCAGAGAAGGCGUUGUUACGACAGCACAGAGAGUACGGCCCUAGGAGCAGGACCCUGCACACAGCUGAGCUCAGAGGCUCCAGUCUGGCCACGAGAAUGCAAUGGGAGGUAUUCUUCAUUGAUCUUACUCGAAGUUGAGAACAUGUAUUUUGACUCUGAGAAAUGAAUAGAAGAAGUUUGGUUCCUGUAAGCAAAUGUCUCAGAAGAAUCCUUCUUUGAAGCUGCCACAAAAGCAGAAGACAUUGCGUGACUGUGCAAGUACAAGAACUAAGAGAAACUCAUAAGCACUUGGCAGAGAAGGUUCAAAGUGCACUAAAAGUGACAGACACUGGUUCCUGCAAAGAAAGGCCUGUGCUGUGAAAUACCUAACAGCUCAUCCAGAAUAAGAGUCAAAAUAAGGUUACCAUCUUUUGUCUAAUUUUUACCAAGAUCCCUUCUUAAGUCAAGUCGUCAUUCUAAAACUGAUCUACUGGAUCAAAAAAUAUUAAAUACGAAGAAAAAUUGAGACAGAUUUGCCAAGUGGUUUGCCUGCCUAUAUCAAGUAACAAAAGUACAUUUGUGCUUAGUAUGGAGAUGCCAUCUUCUUAGAGUUAUAAGUGAAUUAGCAUUGGAAAAACAUGUAUCUGACAAGACGAAUUUGGGGGCCUGACUGACUUAACAUUUAAAAUGUUUAUGGGAAAGAAUAGCAAAAUGAAUAAAUGAGAGAGCAGCAAUUCAGUGUAACUGAAGAGUUAUGGUUAUAUCUAAGAACAAAGAUCAGAGACACAGAGAGUACUUCUAGCAGAUGAAUUUCAUACCUUUUUAAACCUAAGAAAUACAGCAAGACCCAACCGAUCACCUAAACAUGCCUCCCUUAUAUCCUGGUCUCUUUUUUCAUGAUUGUUGGGGCUUCUUAAAAGAUUGGGUGUCUGCUUCUCCCAGGAGUGAUAAUGUUACAAAAUCUUUUCACAGAUGCAAGCAAUUUGUUCAAAAUAAGGCCUUCAAACUCAACAGUUUUCCAGUGUGUACCUCAAAUGGAGAAGAAAAGGACUAUCAACUGAAGUUCUGCUGAUUUUAAUAUAAGAUUGUGAGAGCAGUCAUUUACUGCUCAUCCCCUUAUAUUUCUGUAACACUCUUUCCUUAAGUUCAACUCCUAAGUCUGUGAAGCUGUGGGCAGAGUCUCUGUGUUGACAGAAACUUCAGUUUGGAGUUUCUAAGCGUCUAUGUCCACUAUUUUUUUUGAUAAGAAAUUUCCCCUUUUCCCCCAUACUUAUGUUAAGUAGAAAAAGUGGAUUGAUUUUUUU